rnacentral:rRNA from 1 species
CAGUCGCCACGGUAAUACAGAGGGUGCGAGCGUUAAUCGGAUUUACUGGGCGUAAAGCGUGCGUAGGCGGCUUCUUAAGUCGGAUGUGAAAUCCCUGAGCUUAACUCAGGAAUUGCAUUCGAUACUGGGAAGCUAGAGUAUGGGAGAGGAUGGUAGAAUUCCAGGUGUAGCGGUGAAAUGCGUAGAGAUCUGGAGGAAUACCGAUGGCGAAGGCAGCCAUCUGGCCUAAUACUGACGCUGAGGUACGAAAGCAUGGGGAGCAAACAGGAUUAGAUACCCCAGUAGUCCCUGUCUCUUAUAC